GUUGCUUCCUCUGGUGAACCCUCCUUAUUCUCCAUUAGGGAUGUUCUUGUUUUCGAAGCAUAUAUAAAUAAAUUUGUCUCGAAUAACCAGUUUUAAACGGCGUGGUGUAAUUUUCUCUGGACUAAACCAUGCUACCUGUCUCUAGCGGUACAUAC
rfam:Cajanus cajan CcLG05_119, whole genome shotgun sequence.